rnacentral:rRNA from 1 species
AUUGAACGCUGGCGGCAGGCCUAACACAUGCAAGUCGAACGAGUGGCGGACGGGUGAGUAAUGUCUGGGAAACUGCCUGAUGGAGGGGGAUAACUACUGGAAACGGUAUCUAAUACCGCAUACCAUCAGAUGUGCCCAGCUGGGAUUAGCUAGUGGGUGGGGUAACGGCUCACCAGGGCGACGAUCCCUAGCUGGUCUGAGAGGAUGACCCGCCAAACUGGAACUGGGACACGGUCCAAACUCCAAGGGGAGGCGUCAGUGGGGAAUAUUGCACAGUGGGCGCAAGCCUAAUGCAGCCAUGCCGCGUGUAUGAAGAAGGCCUUCGGGUUGUAAAGUACUUUCAGCGGGGAGGCGUUACCCGCAGAAGAAGCACCGGCUAACUCCGUGCCAGCAGCCGCGGUAAUUC